GCAGGAAGUGUGGAAGGGACAGUUUCCAAUUUCCAUGGCUAAGACUGGGUUCCACCUUGUUCUCUUUGCACUCACCUUCCUACUUGUCUCUGCGACAAUCUCAGAAGGAAUGCGGAAAAACAGGGAAUGCAAAGGGCAUGACGAGUGUAUAACAGGAUGCAGGCAUGGGGGAUACUGUAACAUCCAUCAGAAGAAAUGUGUAUGCCGGCCAUUGCCAUUGCCAUUGAAAGGGGCGGCCACCAUCAACAGCGGUCCACCCUGCGGCCGGGACGGUGACUGCAAGGGCUGCGGAACCGAUGAGGGAGCUUUCUGCGACCUUCUGAGAGGGGCUUGUUGGUGCCCCUGAAAUUUUCACAUCGUUCCCUCACUGUUAUCAACGAGUAAAUCAAAGGCACGAUAGCUUUAAAAAUAUAUAUCAAAAUAUAUAAACUUUGUAAAUAUUGUCAUAGAUCUAAAUCAGCUAUGACAAUUUUUAAAAGUCUUUUAGGUUAUUGUCCUUAAAUAAAAAAGCUGGAAAUAUAUGUCUCUGUUUUGGUAAAAAAAAAUAAACCAUGUUUAAAAAACAGAAACAAAUCCCAGUUUCUGUCCAAAAUUCUUCUUAUUUGGGAAAACACAAUAUAUCAUAUCUUAAUAUGAAGUGCCAAAUGAAUGUGGGCAAGAUUUUGUAGAUUCUGUGCCAAAAUAACACACCUUCAAAACAAAUCACGAAUCAUCCAAUCCACUAUAUAAUAAAAAGAAAACAAGGUAGAAGGAGAGACAAAAAAAAACAAAGAGAAGAGAAGAGAAGCACAAACCUGUCCAGCAACCAUGGCUAAGAUCACUCCCUACAUGGCUAUGUUUGCAGUUAUCUUCUUACUAUCAUCCGGGGUAGGGAAGGCAGGGAAGGAGUUGCCUCCUCCGAAACCGCAAUGCGUCGGCCCUGAGGAUUGCAAUUUCGUAUGCAAUGGGAUGGGGAUAUGCCAUACAGCAGACGGGACAUGCGUGUGUGGUCCGACCGGAGAUCCCAACAAGCCCUUUGGACCUGUCCGGUGUAUCGCCAACUCCAAAUGCACAGACUUUUGUAGUCCUCAGGGCGGUUCCUGUGACCUCGAGGCUCAAGUCUGUCGUUGCAACCCUUUGCCUCCUCCUGAUGAUUCUGAUUAUGAUUCUGCACAUCAUUAAGAAUGCGCAACUUUAUUAUUUAUAUGUAUAUCUUUGUUAUCCAUCCAUAUACAUAUAUCUCUGAAAUAUCAAAUAAAGUUUCAUC